GAAGAGGCAGUAUUGACUGAUCCCAAAUGUCAUCUUUUUUUUAAUACUGUUUGACAACAAGCAAAGCAGUCAUGAUGUUGUUUUCGCCCAUAAAAACAAACGUAAACAAUACCAUCAUUACAAACAUGAAUCAAAAAUAUCAUCCACUGAUUUAAAUUGUGGAAUACAAAUUCCAUCUAUAAAAUACUUCAACUGUGCAGUUAAUACUUUCGUUUGGAGUAGUAUUAUGCUGAACGAAAAGUUAUCUUCAACGGCUCUCCAUCGCGCUAGCGAGAAGCCCAAAUGCCAAAGGAAAAUGUUUACAAUAGCUGAAAAAAUUAAACUUCUCGAUAUGCUUAAGCAAGGUAAAAGCUACGCUGCCGUGGGUUGGUGCUACGGAAUCAACGAGUCUUCAGUACGCUACAUUAAAAAGGAUGAAAUAAACAUAAGAGCGACGGCUGCAGUUUCCGUGAGCAAAACAACAAAGCGUAUAGUAACGCCUCGCAAUAGAGCCAUCAUAACGAUGGAAGCAGAAUUAGUUUCAUGGAUAAAGGACUGCAGGCAAAAACAUGUUCCGCUAACUACCAACGUAAUUUGUAGCAAAGCAAAAACGAUUUCCAAAAAUUAUCUGAUAGUAUUAGAACCGUGACAGACACAACAGCAUCGCGCCCGGCCAGGUUCAAUGCUAGCAAUGGAUGGUACGAGAAGUUCCAGAAACGACACGGAUUGCGGAGUAUUCUAUACGGAGAGCCAGCCUCUUCCCAUACAAUAAACUUCAAUGGCAAAGAAAAUGAUGCGAAUGAAUCCCUUACCGCCAAGAGCAGUCAGCACAAGACAGAACAAGUGUGCUUCAAUGAAACGGUUUACGAAGACGAAUAUGAAGAAUCUGAACAGAAAUUGGUUUCAAAUUUAGACAACUUUGAUAUAGAAAUGGAUCAUCUCACAACCAUCGUAACAUUAACCAAGGAAAUUCAACGUAUGACAAAGCAAUGGGAUCCGCUGAAAAGUCGCUCAUUGAAAUUUUCCAAUACAGUUAAUUUAGCCUUGUCUGUGUAUGAAGAGUUGCUAGCAGAAAAAAAGAAACAGGAUAGGAUCCUGUCAAAUUGAAAAAAAAUCCUUAGAAAUAGGAUGAUGGUCCUUUUAUUACUUUCACCAUCUGAAGCUAUACUAAUGAAAUGAGCUCAAAAAUUGUGAAAAAAUGACUCCAGGCAAAAAUGAGGUACAAAAUUAAAGGCAUUGUUGCUGGUAGAUAAUAUCAUUCUGUUCAGAAACAAACCCGAACAGCAGAGAUAUUGGAACAACAGUGAUACUUCGUAUGACAAAAAUAACUAACAUAACGGAAACACCUCAUUCAUGGAAAUAUGAAACCAGUGCCACAUAGUUAUUAAAAUAAAGUAAAUUAAGUAGGAACACCAUGUUAAAUAUAA